UAAACUUUGCAUUUCAGCAUAAAAAUCUUAAAUGCCUAACGUGCUUUACGUAUUGUCUGUGCCAACCGCGAUCGCUUCGUAAUUGAGCAAUAAAAAAUCGACAAGAAGCAGACACUAACUACAAAAGCCAAUUGCUCUGGGAUCCAAGUGCCCUACAGUGGCGGUUUUAAACAUCGUAACUUAAAUACAUGUACAUACAUAUGUGGAUAGCAGAGCUGUUAUCAAUUUGUAUUGUGAAGAUUAUCUAUUUUUAUGAGCAAUCUGUAGGGUACUUUAGAGGCAUCUAAACACUCAAUAGCUACUCCUCAUCUAGUUUAUUUCAAAGGAAACAAAUUUACACCAUACUAAUUGAAAGCAUGAAAAUUAUCUUAAAACAACCUUGCCACCUGACGACAAGCGCUUUGAAUUAAGCCCCAGAAAUCGCCAAUAUUUUUUAAUAUGAUCGGGGAAUGUAACAUCAAGCAUAUUUAGAAAAAUAGUAUUUUAUUUAAUUGAUGUUAUAAACACAAACGAUUGGAACGCUGGUUCCGAGUUAGAUGAAAGGAAUGUACGAGUAAUUACGAGUAAAAUGGUGAGCUUAGUUUGAGCCUGUUAUGCGGAGAUUCGACAUACUUAGUGGACUUCGUCUUCACUGCUCACAUGUGAAGCAAUUGAUGAGGGGUUGUAUGCAGCACGGUAUUUAUCAAAUGCAUCCGGCUGGCAAUGCUACUAACUAAUUACUUGCAGAUCAUGUACGAAAGAAGAGCCGAUUUGUGCGUUAAUUUAAAAUUAUUUUUAAAUACAAUACAAUACUAUACAUACGAGUAUUUGCGUACAUAUGUAUCUUCGUAUGCAUGUUUGUAUAUUUUACCCAUUCGGUUGCGGCUCGCUAAAUUUUGUCUUAAUGUGAUUACGUUAUUUAUUUAUAACUUUUCUUUUUUUGCAGUAAGCAGGGAACUCUUAAAGGGAUAUUUUUAGUUUUAAAAAGCAAACGAAAAUUUCUGCCUUCCUGAGCACAAACAUAUUUACGCCACUCUUGGGCAGAUGUGCUAUUUAGCAAAAUAAUCGAAACACCUGCCACCUGUGUGCUGUCACAAUCGCUCGGCUUUAGAGACUCGUAAAGAGUUGAUUGGUAUUGUGCGACAUUAAAAUGUAACGCCAUCUUAAAAAAUGCUGAACGAAUGUUUAUUUUGUACACCAUAGCAGUACGCCAUCAUUAAUAACUGUUGCGGAAUGGCCGCCACCGAAUACUGACUUGUUGUUGUAACGAUUUAUUGCUUAGCACACAUACAAUACCAUACUAUGUGUCAUUUAUCACCUCCAGCUUCAGGUAAUGCGUGAAAUGAAAGUCUGGUAGACUAAUGGGUGACGCUGUUGCUAUUUCUAUUGUCUAUGAUUCGUCAUCGUACCUGAACUUACAUAUUGAAUAACAUUGUAGAUAAUUUCUCAUGGUCACACGCAGGAAAAGUGUAAAAUUGUUUAUUUUUUUUUGGAUUUUCUUGCUGCCGUAGCUGAUCAGAAGCACCCCCCGGAAAAAAGGUGUCUGCCAGGAAGGAAAAAUUUUCUACUUAAAAUUAUCUCAAACCUAAAAACCAAAUAAACAAAUAUCAUAAUAACACAUUGUAUA